rnacentral:rRNA from 1 species
UACGUAGGGUGCAAGCGUUGUCCGGAAUUAUUGGGCGUAAAGAGCUCGUAGGCGGUUUGUCGCGUCUGCUGUGAAAACGCGGGGCUCAACCCCGCGCCUGCAGUGGGUACGGGCAGACUAGAGUGCAGUAGGGGAGACUGGAAUUCCUGGUGUAGCGGUGGAAUGCGCAGAUAUCAGGAGGAACACCGGUGGCGAAGGCGGGUCUCUGGGCUGUAACUGACACUGAGGCAUGAAAGCGUGGGGAGCAAACAGG